rnacentral:rRNA from 1 species
CCUACGGGAGGCAGCAGUGAGGAAUAUUGGUCAAUGGACGAGAGUCUGAACCAGCGAAGUAGCGUGAAGGAUGACUGCCCUAUGGGUUGUAAACGUCGUUUAUAUGGGAAUAAAACGUUCCACGUGUGGGAUUUUGUAUGUACCAUAUGAAUUAGGAUCGGCUAACUCCGGCCCAGCCGCCGCGGUAAUACGGAGGAUCCGAGCGUUAUCCGGAUUUAUUGGGUUUAAAGGGAGCGUAGGUGGAUUGUUAAGUCAGUUGUGAAAGUUUGCGGCUCAACCGUAAAAUUGCAGUUGAAACUGGCAGUCUUGAGUACAGUAGAGGUGGGCGGGAUUCGUGGUGUAGCGGUGAAAUGCUUAGAUAUCACGAAGAACUCCGAUUGCGAAGGCAGUUCACUGGACUGCAACUGACACUGAGGCUCGAAAGUGUGGGUAUCAAACAGGAUUAGAUACCCUAGUAGUC